GGUGGCUGUCCUUGCCUGUCCUUGUGACAGUCUGUUUGCUCAUGUACUCAUUGGACAAGAAUUUAUGGAGCACCUUCUAUGUGUCAGGUAUUGGCGAUAAAAUGUGAACAAGAUGAAGAAAUUGAUACUUGGAGAGGUUAAGUGGAUCUAUAGGCAGGAAGCAAAUAGGCAGACACCUGCAAGCCUUGUCUUUCCACGAUCUUUGUCUGUGAGAAAACAGAGAAUGUGCAACUGACGACCUGUCUUCCCGCGGAGCUCCAUGGGCCAAGCCAGAAAUAACAGAGGAACAAGCAAAAUGUCGCAGGAAACACAUUUAUACAACCAAUUUGCCUGGUCCUGUUUCUUUUCUUAUAUAACAGUUUUAUUAAAUUGUCCAAAUCCUCAGAAGAAUGUUAUAAAAAAAUAAGAAGGGGAAGAGAAGAAAGAAGAAAUGUAUUUCUCUCUUCACAUGCUCUAAAGAUCUUCGUAGAAAUAGACUCUUCAAUCCUGAGACUGGCAGCUACUGAGCCAGACAGGCCACAUCCUGCUUCUACCCUUUUCCUUUUCCUCAUAUACCACUUUACUUAGACA